AAAUUCUCAAAGUAAACCUUUUGUUAAUUCAACUGGUCUUUGCUUUGGAUUUGGAGGCCUUUGCAGAUGUCACAGUCUGCUCCUCUUAAAUAAAUUAGCUGGAUCUCAGUAUACACUUGGUUCCACUCGGCGUGAUAAGUAUCACUCGCUGAGGACACUGUUAAAAAGGUGGCCAGGCAAUGCAGAUGAACCGCUUCUAAUAGUCCAUUGACUUGGACAAAUUAAAAAUUUAUG
rnacentral:misc_RNA from 1 species